AUUCCUGUAGCGCAAUGGAUAGCCCUUUGGACUUCAAAUCCAAAGGUCGUGGGUUUGAAUCCCCUCUGGGAUG